UAAGGGAUAUUGGGCAAUGGGGGGAACCCUGACCCAGCCAUGCCGCGUGAGGGAGUGAGGCCCUACGGGUCGUGAACCUCUUUUGGAGGGGGAUAAAGCGCUCCGCUUGACGGUGCGUUGCAGGUACCCUCCGAAUAAGCAUCGGCUAACUCCGUGCCAGCAGCCGCGGUAAUACGGAGGAUGCGAGCGUUAUCCGGAUUUAUUGGGUUUAAAGGGUGCGCAGGCGGCCUGUCAAGUCAGUGGUGAAAGGCAGGGGCUCAACCCCGGCAGUGCCGUUGAUACUGACGGGCUGGAAUGCGGUCGAGGCGGGCGGAACGUGGCGUGUAGCGGUGAAAUGCACAGAUAUGCCACAGAACGCCGAUAGCGGAGGCAGCUCGCCAGGCCUGCAUUGACGCUCGGGCACGAAAGCGUGGGUAUCGAACA
rnacentral:rRNA from 1 species